UCUUGGUCAUUUAGAGGAAGUAAAAGUCGUAACAAGGUUUCCGUAGGUGAACCUGCGGAAGGAUCAUUAUUGAAUAAACCUGAUGUGGUUGUUGCUGGCUCUCUCGGGAGCAUGUGCACGCCCGUCAUCUUUAUAUCUCCACCUGUGCACCUUUUGUAGACCCGGGGAUUGAGCAAUCAAUCGUUGGGCCUACGUUUAUCAUAUACCCCAUAGUAUGUAUUAGAAUGUCUCAAUGGGCUUCGUGCCUAUAAACACUAUACAACUUUCAGCAACGGAUCUCUUGGCUCUCGCAUCGAUGAAGAACGCAGCGAAAUGCGAUAAGUAAUGUGAAUUGCAGAAUUCAGUGAAUCAUCGAAUCUUUGAACGCACCUUGCGCUCCUUGGUAUUCCGAGGAGCAUGCCUGUUUGAGUGUCAUUAAAUUCUCAACCUCUCUAGUUUUUAUUAACUAGUAGAUGGCUUGGAUGUGGGGGUAUUUUGCCGGCUUUCACAAGUCAGCUCCCCUUAAAUGUAUUAGCCGGUGCCCUCUAACCGUCUAUUGGUGUGAUAAUUAUCGUCGCCCGUAGACUAUUAGACUUAGUGGCAUUGCUUCUAACCGUCCUCUAUGGGACAAUCUAUGACAUUUUGCCUCAAAUCAGGUAGGACUCCCGCUGAACUUAAGCAUAUCAAUAAGCGGAGA
rnacentral:rRNA from 1 species